AUGAACGCUGGCGGCGUGCCUCAUACAUGCAAGUCGAGCGAACAGACGAGGAGCUUGCUCCUCUGACGUUAGCGGCGGACGGGUGAGUAACACGUGGAUAACCUACCUAUAAGACUGGGAUAACUUCGGGAAACCGGAGCUAAUACCGGAUAACAUGUUGAACCGCAUGGUUUAACAGUGAAAGACGGUCUUGCUGUCACUUAUAGAUGGAUCCGCGCCGCAUUAGCUAGUUGGUAAGGUAACGGCUUACCAAGGCAACGAUGCGUAGCCGACCUGAGAGGGUGAUCGGCCACACUGGAACUGAGACACGGUCCAGACUCCUACGGGAGGCAUCAGUAGGGAAUCUUCCGCAAUGGGCGAAAGCCUGACGGAGCAACGCCGCGUGAGUGAAGAAGGUCUUCGGAUCGUAAAACUCUGUUAUUAGGGAAGAACAAAUGUGUAAGUAACUAUGCACGUCUUGACGGUACCUAAUCAGAAAGCCACGGCUAACUACGUG
rnacentral:rRNA from 1 species